AGAAGACACAUCCAGGCACGUAGCUAAAAUGGAAACGGCUACGGCGGUUGUGGAGUCGGUGGCUGGAAGUUUAUCGUCUGCUGAUAAUCGACACGGUCAAGAAAAAAAGAUGAGUAAGGACCUCUUAUUUGGAAGAACUGGAGAAACCAUUAAAAAAA